CCUACGGGAGGCAGCAGUGAGGAAUAUUGGUCAAUGGCCGGAAGGCUGAACCAGCCAAGCCGCGUGAAGGACGAAGGUGCCAAGCAUUGUAAACUUCUUUUGUCAAGGGACAAAAUCAGGCUCGAGAGCCUGACCGAGGGUACUUGAAGAAAAAGCAUCGGCUAACUCCGUGCCAGCAGCCGCGGUAAUACGGAGGAUGCGAGCGUUAUCCGGAUUUAUUGGGUUUAAAGGGUGCGUAGGCGGACUGUUAAGUCAGCGGUAAAAGCCCGGGGCUCAACCCCGGCGAGCCGUUGAUACUGGCUGUCUUGAGAUGUCGAGAGGUAGGCGGAAUGCGCAGUGUAGCGGUGAAAUGCUUAGAUAGUGCGCAGAACUCCGAUUGCGAAGGCAGCAUACUGGCGGCGAUCUGACGCUGAGGCACGAAAGCGUGGGUAUCGAACAGGAUUAGAUACCCCAGUAGUC
rnacentral:rRNA from 1 species